UACAACGAGUCGCAAGACCGCGAGGUUUAGCAAAUCUCUUAAAGCCGUUCUCAGUUCGGAUUGUAGGCUGCAACUCGCCUACAUGAAGUCGGAAUCGCUAGUAAUCGCGGAUCAGCAUGCCGCGGUGAAUACGUUCCCGGGCCUUGUACACACCGCCCGUCACACCAUGAGAGUUUGUAACACCCAAAGCCGGUGGGGUAACCUUUUGGAGCCAGCCGUCUAAGGUGGGACAGAUGAUUGGGGUGAAGUCGUAACAAGGUAUC
rnacentral:rRNA from 1 species